UUCAUAUAAAGUGUAGAUCAACAAAUAAUCAUGUCUAACAACUAAAAUCAAUUAAAAAAAGAGAACAAAAAUUAAAAAAUUAAAAAUUAUGGCCUGUUAAUCUUCUAAUUCUCCCGUAAAUCCCACACACACAGAGAGAGAUGGGUACCAAGAUGGAAGCGGACACCGACGGCUGUGCAGCGACGGCGAUGGCGACGGCGGUGUGGCGAUGGUAGUGACCUAUGGGUGGACUGUGAGAGAGAGAAAGCCAGAGAGAGCCAUACCUUAA
rnacentral:lncRNA from 1 species